GGAUGGAGUCCCAUCUUGUGGCUCAGGCUCGAGUGCAGGGCUUGAUCUUGGCUCACUGCAACCUCCGCCUCCCAGGUUCGAGCAAUUCUCGUGCCUCAGCCUCCUGAGUAGCUGGGACUACAGGUGUGCAUCACCAUGCCUGGCUGAUUUUCGUAUUUUUAGCAGAGACGGGGUUUUGCCAUGUUGGCCAGGCUGGUCUCAAACUCCUGACCUCAAGCAAUCCGCCCUCCUCGGCCUCCCAAGGUGCUGGGAUUACAAGCGUGAGCCACCGCGCCCAGCCACAGAGACAUUUUUGAAGGUGAUUUAGAGGGUGGAAGACAGGCAGCAGCCAUUUGGUUGCUUACCUGCUGGCUGACCUCUUGGGCAUGGGGCAGCAGCUGGGCUUGUACCUCCUCCAACUUCUCCUGAUCCUCUUUCAGUUGCUCUGACUCCUGGCCCAGGUGUGUGUUAAGCUCUGCGAGGCAGGGCACCAGCUUCUCCCACAAGACACCCACAUCAUCAAGGUUGGAGACAGUUCUGCUCUGUCCUUAUAGGUUCCACCUCAUGUUCUUGGACUCUAGCUUGUUCUUGCUCUCCCUGGAGUUUUAUUUCCCUCUUCCUUUCCACCCUGCCUGCCCUGCAGACUUCAAACUCCAGCAUCAGAUGCAAGGCCUCACAAGAUCAAGAUCCUCUCUUGCUUCUCUAGAGAAUGUGCUCCAUCAAAAAGAGAGAAUAAACCAAGAAGAGGAAGACAGAGGAUCCGGAAACAGGGAUGAUGGUGCACGGAAGUCCCAGGAUGACAGCUGUGCAUCAGGCCUUCAGCAGCCAGGAUGGGAGCAGAAGGAUGGGGAGCUCUGGGAGUGUCUCCAAGAAAGAAAAAGAAACUGAUCAAAUAUCUAAUUUUUAAAACAUAUUGAGGGGAAAUUUAUACUUCUGCAAUAAAUUUUAGGAUAUCGUAAUAGAAACUAAGAAAAUAACAAAUAAAAAAACAAAAAAACAAAAAACAAGGUAAUUAUCAACCGCGGGAGAAGAAAGGUUGUAUGAGAAAAGAAAUAAAAACAGAAUUCAGUACAUGGAUCAGCUGUGAACUGUGUUUGCAUAAUUAUUAUAAUGUAAACAUUGGAACAAUCAUUUCAGCAAAAGUUGCAAUUUAAUCAUAUUGGAAGGAUGAAAGGAAAGUUGAGUGUGUUUGUGUCUUUGUGAAAGAACGAAUUUAUUCAACCUCCAUAGGAAGUCAAUAGGUGAUACAUAAAAUUGAAAAAAUAACAGGAAAGCAUGUUAUUUUUUAAUAUGGUAGGAAACAGCAGAAAAAACUGAAAAAGUUCAAAGUGGAAGGGAAAGCACUAGGAACUGGAAUCAGAGAUAAAGUAUGGGACUGUUUUCUCAUUAUAAACCUUAGAGAAUUAUUAAUUAAAAAUGAAUUCUAACACUAGAAAAAGAUAUAUUAGGAAUAUAUUUUUAAAAAGAAAGUGGGAGUGAGAAUAUUAAUAUUAGAAAAAUAAAUUCAGGACCGGGUGUGGUGGCUUAGGCCUGUAAUCCCAGCACUUUGGGAGACUGAGGCGGGAGGAUCACUUGAGUCUGGGAGUUCAAGACCAGCCUGGACAACAUGGUGAAACCUCAUCUCUACAAAAACCGCAACAAAAUUUAGCCAGGCAUGGUGGUGCAUGUCUGUACUUCUAACUACUUGAGAGGUUGAGGCAGGAGGAUCAAAUGAGCCUGGGAGGCAGAGGUUGUAGUGAGCUGAGAUUAUGC
rnacentral:lncRNA from 1 species